CGCGGAGUGGAGCAGUCUGGUAGCUCGUUGGGCUCAUAACCCAAAGGCCGCAGGUUCAAAUCCUGCCUCCGUUA
rnacentral:tRNA from 1 species